rnacentral:rRNA from 1 species
GCCAGACUCCUACGGGAGGCAGCAGUGGGGGAUAUUGCACAAUGGGGGGAACCCUGAUGCAGCGACGCCGCGUGGGUGAAGGAGCGUUUCGGCGCGUAAAGCCCUAUCGGCAGGGAAGAAGGAGGACGGUACCUGACUAAGAAGCCCCGGCUAACUACGUGCCAGCAGCCGCGGUAAUACGUAGGGGGCAAGCGUUAUCCGGAUUUACUGGGUGUAAAGGGGGCGCAGACGGCAGCGCAAGCCAGGAGUGAAAGCCCGGGGCCCAACCCCGGGACUGCUCUUGGAACUGCGCGGCUGGAGUGCAGGAGGGGCAGGCGGAAUUCCUGGUGUAGCGGUGAAAUGCGUAGAUAUCAGGAGGAACACCGGUGGCGAAGGCGGCCUGCUGGACUGCGACUGACGUUGAGGCCCGAAAGCGUGGGGAGCAAACAGGAUUAGAUACCCCUGUAGAG